rnacentral:rRNA from 1 species
GUGCCAGCAGCCGCGGUAAAACGUAGGGGGCAAGCGUUAUCCGGAUUUACUGGACGUAAAGAGCGUAGAGCGGUGUUUGAAAGUUGGGCGGGAAAAGCCCUGGGCUUAACUCAGGGAAGCCGUUCAAUACUGCGAAACUUGAGGGCAGCAGAGGGAGGUGGAAUUCCCGGAGUAGCGGUGAAAUGCGUAGAUAUCGGGAGGAACACCAGUGGCGAAGGCGGCCUCCUGGGCUGCUCCUGACGCUGAAGGCGAAAGCUAGGGGAGCGAACGGGAUUAGAAACCCCGGUAGUCCUAGCCGUAAACGAUGGAUGCUAGGUGUGGGGGGUGUAGAUUCCCUCCGUGCGGCAGUUAACGCGUUAAGCAUCCCGCCUGGGGAGUACGGCCGCAAGGCUAAAACUCAAACGAAUUGACGGGGGCCCGCACAAGCAGCGGAGCGUGUGGUUUAAUUGGACGCUACACGAAGAACCUUACCUGGGCUUGACAUACAGGUAGUAGUGAAGUGAAAGCGGAUCGACCUUUCGGGGAGCCUGUACAGGUGCUGCAUGGCUGUGGUCAGCUCGUGCCGUGAGGUGUCGGGUUAAGUCCCGUAACGAGCGCAACCCUUGCUCUUAGUUAUACGUGUCUAAGAGGACUGCCGGCGGUAAGCCGGAGGAAGGUGGGGAUGACGUCAAGUCAGCAUGGCCUUUAUGUCCAGGGCUACACACACGCUACAAUGGCCGGUACAAUGGGUAGCUAAACCGCGAGGUGGAGCCAAUCCUGAAAGCCGGUCUCAGUUCGAAUUGCAGGCUGCAACUCGCCUGCAUGAAGUCGGAGUUGC